ensembl:lncRNA
UGAUCAUUGAGAAGUUCACAUCUUCAGGGAUGUGAAGAAGAUAUAUUUUACUCACCUCCUGUGAUGACAAGCUGAAAAUCACAUGGUUGUAAACUUGUGUCCAGUGUGCACCUGUACAAUCCUGCAUCAGACUUGUUCAGCUGUGUGAUGCUCACAUGCACGUCCUUUGACAGUACAUUUGUUUUUCAUAUUUAAUGCUGUAUCUGCCCCUCUGAGCUGUGUUAUCAGCUGUUUCAAUGAGAACGUUUCCUUUUUCACAUUUGUCUUUGCAGAACAAUGUCUUACUUCCGGGGAUAUAAAAUUUACAUUCAGCAGUGAUGUUUCCUCCUUCCACUCCUUCAUAGACAAGAGUUUCAGCGUUGGCAAGUCCAGUGUUUCCAUCCUGCAGAACAAUGUCUUUCUUCCGGGGAUAUAAAAUUUACAUUCGACUGUGAUGUUUCCUCCUUCCACUCCAUAGACGAGAGUUUCAGCGUUGGCAAGUCCAGUGUUUCCAUCCUGCAGGUGGGAAUUCCUCUAUUGACUUGACCAGUGUUUCCAUCGUGCAGUGCUGUAGAAAUAAUGAACAAUCAAUAGUUAAUAUGUAUCCUGUAAUAUGUUGUUAAAAUAUAUUUGUGUACAUUUAAUUCAAUUGAAUUUAUUCACUU